ACUUAAGGAAAAAGAUUUAUCGGUACAGGAUGGGCCCUGCGUCUGAUUAGUUAGUUUGGUAAGGUAACGGCUUACCAAGACGAAUGAUCAGUAGCCCGACCCUGAGAGGGUGAACGGCCACACUGGAACUUGAGACACGGUCCCAGAACUCUCUACGGGAGGCAGCAGUGGGGAAUAUUUGCACAAUUGGGGAAACCCUGAUGCAGAACGCCGCGUGAGCGAUGAAGGCCUUCGGGUCGUAAAGCUCUGUCCUAAGGGAAGAAAAGGACGGUACCUUAGGAGGAAGCCCCGGCUAACUACGUGCCAGCAGCCGCGGUAAUACGUAGGGGGCAAGCGUUAUCCGGAAUUACUGGGCGUAAAGGGUGCGUAGCCGGUUAAAUAAGUCAGAGGUAAAAGGCAAUGGCUCAACCAUUGUAAGCCUUUGAAACUAUUUGACUUGAGUAUAGGAGAGGAGAGUAGAAUUUCUAGUGUAGCGGUGAAAUGCGUAGAUAUUAGAAGGAAUACCAGUGGCGAAGGCGACUCUCUGGACUAUUACUGACGCUGAGGCACGAAAGCGUGGGGAGCAAACAGGAUUAGAUACCCUGGUAGUCCACGCCGUAAACGAUGAGUGCUAGGUGUCGGGGGUCAAACCUCGGUGCCGGAGUUAACACAUUAAGCACUCCGCCUGGGGAGUACGCUCGCAAGAGUAAAACUCAAAGGAAUUGACGGGGACCCGCACAAGCAGCGGAGCAUGUGGUUUAAUUCGAAGCAACGCGAAGAACCUUACCUGAGCUUGACAUACUACUGACCGGUCUUUAAUAGGACCUUUCCUUCGGGACAGUGGAUACAGGUGGUGCAUGGUUGUCGUCAGCUCGUGUCGUGAGAUGUUGGGUUAAGUCCCGUAACGAGCGCAACCCUUGUCUUUAGUUGCCAUCAGGUAAAGCUGGGCACUCUAGAGAGACUGCCGUGGAUAACACGGAGGAAGGUGGGGGUGACGUCAAAUCAUCAUGCCCCUUAUGUUCAGGGCUACACACGUGCUACAAAUGGCUAAUACAAAAGGGCAGCAAAGAGGGUGACCCUUAAGCGAAUCCCCAUAAAGUUAGUCUCAAGUUCGGAUUGCAGGCUGAAACUCGCCUGCAUGAAAGCUGGAGUUGCUAGUAAUCGUGGAUCAGAAUGCCACGGUGAAUGCGUUCCCGGGUCUUGU
rnacentral:rRNA from 1 species